rnacentral:rRNA from 1 species
AUUGAACGCUGGCGGCAGGCUUAACACAUGCAAGUCGAGCGGGGUGAUGGUGCUUGCACUAUCACUUAGCGGCGGACGGGUGAGUAAUGCUUAGGAAUCUGCCUAUUAGUGGGGGACAACAUCUCGAAAGGGAUGCUAAUACCGCAUACGUCCUGCGGGAGAAAGCAGGGGAUCACUUGUGACCUUGCGCUAAUAGAUGAGCCUAAGUCGGAUUAGCUAGUUGGUGGGGUAAAGGCCUACCAAGGCGACGAUCUGUAGCGGGUCGGAGAGGAUGAUCCGCCACACUGGGACUGAGACACGGCCCAGACUCCUACGGGAGGCAGCAGUGGGGAAUAUUGGACAAUGGGGGGAACCCUGAUCCAGCCAUGCCGCGUGUGUGAAGAAGGCCUUAUGGUUGUAAAGCACUUUAAGCGAGGAGGAGGCUCUUUUGGUUAAUACCCAAGAUGAGUGGACGUUACUCGCAGAAUAAGCACCGGCUAACUCUGUGCCAGCCGCCGCGGUAA